UACGUAGGGUGCGAGCGUUGUCCGGAAUUAUUGGGCGUAAAGGGCUCGUAGGCGGCUUGUUGCGUCGGCUGUGAAAACCCGUGGCUUAACUGCGGGCUUGCAGCUGAUACGGGCGGGCUAGAGUUCGGUAGGGGAGACUGGAAUUCCUGGUGUAGCGGUGAAAUGCGCAGAUAUCAGGAGGAACACCGGUGGCGAAGGCGGGUCUCUGGGCCGAUACUGACGCUGAGGAGCGAAAGCGUGGGGAGCGAACAGG
rnacentral:rRNA from 1 species